rnacentral:rRNA from 1 species
GGGGGGCAGAGCGCUAACUGCAGUCGAAGAUGACUUUUGUGCUUGCCAGAAUGAUUAGUGGCGAACGGGUGAGUAACACGUGAGUAACCUGCCCUUGACUUCGGGAUAAGCCUGGGAAACUGGGUCUAAUACCGGAUAUGCACCGUGGACCGCAUGGUUCUUGGUGGAAAGAUUUUUUGGUCAGGGAUGGACUCGCGGCCUAUCAGCUUGUUGGUGAGGUAAUGGCUCACCAAGGCGACGACGGGUAGCCGGCCUGAGAGGGUGACCGGCCACACUGGGACUGAGACACGGCCCAGACUCCUACGGGAGGCAGCAGUGGGGAAUAUUGCACAAUGGGCGAAAGCCUGAUGCAGCGACGCCGCGUGAGGGAUGACGGCCUUCGGGUUGUAAACCUCUUUCAGUAGGGAAGAAGCGAAAGUGACGGUACCUGCAGAAGAAGCGCCGGCUAACUACGUGCCAGCAGCCGCGGUAAUACGUAGGGCGCAAGCGUUAUCCGGAAUUAUUGGGCGUAAAGAGCUCGUAGGCGGUUUGUCGCGUCUAUCGUGAAAGUCCGAGGCUCAACCUCGGAUCUGCGGUGGGUACGGGCAGACUAGAGUGAUGUAGGGGAGACUGGAAUUCCUGGUGUAGCGGUGAAAUGCGCAGAUAUCAGGAGGAACACCGAUGGCGAAGGCAGGUCUCUGGGCAUUAACUGACGCUGAGGAGCGAAAGCAUGGGGAGCGAACAGGAUUAGAUACCCUGGUAGUCCAUGCCGNUAACGUUGGGCACUAGGUGUGGGGGACAUUCCACGUUUUCUGCGCCGUAGCUAACGCAUUAAAUGCCCCCCCUGGGGAGUACGGCCCCAAGGCUAAAACUCAAAGGGAAUGACGGGGGGCCCGCACAACCGCCGAGCAUGCGGAUUUAUUCGAUGCAACGCGAAGAAACCUUACAAAGCUUUACAUGUGCCAGACC